UACAAGACUACAAGCCUCUUCAUAGGUGGCACAAAAACCUUCAUCAGUAUCAGGAUUUCAGAGACCAUAAUCCCUUCAGCUUCCAUCUCCAUCAUGCUGCUCUUUCUACUGUUACUACUGAUGCUUUUUCUAGGCAGCACAUCAAUGCAAAAGCGUCUUAUAGCAGAAAAGCAUGUUUCAGAAGGCGAUGAUGUCAUUCUGCCCUGCAAUUUAACUACUACUACAGGUGAUUAUGUACAGUGGUAUCGACAGUAUCCCAAAUCCAGACCAGUGUUCCUCAGCUCCACCUAUAUAUCUGCUGCUGAAAAACAACCUGGAAAUGCUGAUAAAAAACCUGAGGAUCUGAAGAUCUCCUCUGCUGCAGUAUCAGACUCUGCAGUGUACUACUGCGCCCUGAGGCCCACAGUGACAGGAAACUUAGCAACACUGUACAAAAACCUCAUUCCAGGCAAAGGAAGUGUUAAAGUGUGCUCUAAACUCAAACACUGCAUCUCUGUAUUGGCAAAAUAACACUUUAAUUUGUCAUCAAUACAUGUACAUUAAUUUAAAAAUUAAAUUGGCUGGAAAUUGAUGUGUAAAAGGUAGAACAAUAGUGUGUCUAUGCACCUUUGGUGUUUGGAACCCUAUUAUAGAUCAAGGACCCUGCUUUCAUCCCCCAAUGAUACAGACUUCUUUGGGUUAUGAAUACUAAAUAAUUUGCACAACUCUAAUAUAUAUCUGAC